rnacentral:rRNA from 1 species
GACGAACGCUGGCGGCGUGCUUAACACAUGCAAGUCGAACGGUGAGGCCCGGCUUUUGUUGUGUGCUCAAGUGGCGAACGGGGGAGUAUCACGUGAAUGACCUGCCCUUGACUUUGGGAUAACAUCAGGAAACUCGGUCUAAUACCGGAUAUGACCGCCUGCUUCAUGUGAGAGGUUGUAAAAUUGCGGCGUUUGUGCAUGAACUCGAGGCCUAUCGUCUUGUUGGUGGGGUAGUGUCUUACCAGGGCUUUGACGGGUAGCCGGCCUGGGAGUGUGACCGGCCACAUUGGGCUUGAGGUAGCGGCAGGAGUGAUACGGGAGGAAGCAGCGGGAGACAGUGCAAGAUGGGCGGAAGGAUUAUGGAGGAAUUCCGCGUGCGGGAUGACGGUUGUAGGGUUGUAACGAGUGUUCGCCUGGGACGAAGAGUGAGUGACGGUAAUGGGCAAAGAAGCACCGGCUAACUACGUG